GGCAGGGAUGCGAUGGCGGAGUCGCUGCCCCUGGAGAUGCUCACAUAUAUUCUGAGCUUCCUGCCUCUGUCAGAUCAGAAAGAGGCCUCCCUCGUGAGUUGGGCUUGGUACCGUGCUGCCCAGAAUGCCCUUCGGGAGCAACCAGGCCUUACCUCCCUGGACCUCAGUGGCUGCUCAGAACUGACUGAUGGGGCGCUCUUGGCCGUGAGCCGGGGCCUGCGGCACCUGCGGCGCCUGAGCCUGGGGAAGCUGCAGCGGCUGACAGAUGCAGGAUGUACAGCUCUGGGUGGCCUGCAGGAGCUGCAGAGCCUCGACAUGGCCGAGGGCGGGAACUGGCCCAGGCCCUGGGCUGUAUGCACGGGGCUCCAUCCCAGCUGGCCUCCCUCAGCCUGGCCCACUGCUCUUCAUUGAAGUCACGCCCAGAGCUGGAGCAUCAGGCCUCAGGUACCAAGGACGCCUGUCCAGAGCCACAGGGCCCCUCCCUGCUCACGCUGCGGGCCCUGCAGGAGUUGGACCUCACAGCCUGCAGCAAGCUGACUGAUGCCAGUUUAGCCAAGGUGCUCCAGUUUCUCCAGCUGAGGCAGCUGUCCCUUAGCCUGUUGCCAGAACUCACAGACAACGGCUUGGUUGCUGUGGCCAGGGGCUGUCCUAGCCUGGAGCACUUGGCGCUGAGUCACUGCAGCCGACUCAGUGACAAGGGCUGGGCCCAGGCAGCCAGCUCCUGGCCAAGGCUGCAGCAUCUCAACCUGUCCAGCUGCAGUCAGCUCAUAGAGCAGACACUGGAUGCUAUUGGGCAGGCGUGCAGGCAGCUCCGGGUGUUGGAUGUGGCCACGUGCCCUGGCAUCAACAUGGCCGCCGUCAGACGCUUCCAAGCCCAGCUGCCCCAGGUGUCCUGUGUCCAGUCCCGCUUCGUGGGAGGGGCUGACCUGACCCUAACACUCUGAGGCCAGGUCAGUAACCAGCCCUGCAGCACAGCCUCCUUGACUCCCCCAGUCUCCAACCCUGGCCUUGACCCGGGUUGCUUUUUGCCUCCCUCUACUGCAGACCCUCUAGGACUGGGGGUGGGGCCAAUCCAGGGCAGCCCAGAGGGAACAUCCUGCCACACCGCCUGGCAGUAGCCUCUUUCCAGCUACACGUCGCUGCCACAGGCCCCUGGAAAUGCUACCUACGUGUUGCCGCCACAGGCUCCUGCUCUCUGGCCAAGCCCUGGGUGGGAGGCCAGGCCCCCAGCGGGCAGGGUCUGGUGCUGGGAGGAGCAGAGCCUCUGCCUCUUGCCUGCCCUCCUCUCAGACCUAAGGCCGGGCUCCACCUACUCCUGUGGGACUCUCCCAGCACCCUGUGUGCACUGAGCUUCAGCAGCUGAGCCUAGGUCUGUGCUGUAAAUCCUAAGAUUAAACAUUCCAGAUAGUA
ensembl:lncRNA FBXL9P F-box and leucine rich repeat protein, pseudogene